rnacentral:rRNA from 1 species
UCUUUUUCCACCGGAGCUUGCUCCACCGGAAAAAGAGGAGAGGCGAACGGGUGAGUAACACGUGGGUAACCUGCCCAUCAGAAGGGGAUAACACUUGGAAACAGGUGCUAAUACCGUAUAACAAUCGAAACCGCAUGGUUUUGAUUUGAAAGGCGCUUUCGGGUGUCGCUGAUGGAUGGACCCGCGGUGCAUUAGCUAGUUGGUGAGGUAACGGCUCACCAAGGCCACGAUGCAUAGCCGACCUGAGAGGGUGAUCGGCCACAUUGGGACUGAGACACGGCCCAAACUCCUACGGGAGGCAGCAGUAGGGAAUCUUCGGCAAUGGACGAAAGUCUGACCGAGCAACGCCGCGUGAGUGAAGAAGGUUUUCGGAUCGUAAAACUCUGUUGUUAGAGAAGAACAAGGAUGAGAGUAACUGUUCAUCCCUUGACGGUAUCUAACCAGAAAGCCACGGCUAACUACGUGCCAGCAGCCGCGGUAAUACGUAGGUGGCAAGCGUUGUCCGGAUUUAUUGGGCGUAAAGCGAGCGCAGGCGGUUUCUUAAGUCUGAUGUGAAAGCCCCCGGCUCAACCGGGGAGGGUCAUUGGAAACUGGGAGACUUGAGUGCAGAAGAGGAGAGUGGAAUUCCAUGUGUAGCGGUGAAAUGCGUAGAUAUAUGGAGGAACACCAGUGGCGAAGGCGGCUCUCUGGUCUGUAACUGACGCUGAGGCUCGAAAGCGUGGGGAGCAAACAGGAUUAGAUACCCUGGUAGUCCACGCCGUAAACGAUGAGUGCUAAGUGUUGGAGGGUUUCCGCCCUUCAGUGCUGCAGCUAACGCAUUAAGCACUCCGCCUGGGG